rnacentral:rRNA from 1 species
CUACGGGCGGCUCCAGUGGGGAAUAUUGCACAAUGGGCGCAAGCCUGAUGCAGCAACGCCGCGUGGAGGAUGACGCAUUUCGGUGUGUAAACUCCUUUUAUAUGUCAAGAAAAUGACGGUAGCAUAUGAAUAAGCACCGGCUAACUCCGUGCCAGCAGCCGCGGUAAUACGGAGGGUGCAAGCGUUACUCGGAAUCACUGGGCGUAAAGGACGCGUAGGCGGGUUGGAAAGUCAGGUGUGAAAUCCUACAGCUUAACUGUAGAACUGCACUUGAAACUUCUAAUCUAGAGUAUGGGAGGGGGAGAUGGAAUUAGUGGUGUAGGGGUAAAAUCCGUAGAUAUCACUAGGAAUACCUAAAGCGAAGGCGAUCUCCUGGAACAUUACUGACGCUAAGGCGUGAAAGCGUGGGGAGCAAACAGGAUUAGAUACCCGGGUAGUC